ACUGGACUGGCACAAGCUCAUGGCUUAACCCACAGGAGGAGACGGGGCCUGGGCAAGAAGUGUAGGAUGGGAAAAUGUCCCAGCCAGGGGUCAACCGGGACUGUCAUUGGAAAUCUGAGUGGCUCUACAUCUCUGCAUUCCAAUUCUGGGAAGACAUAAGGUUUGGGGAGGCACUCACUCCCGCGACUCUGGACAAUUGAGAGCCUGCUGCCUCCAGUGAUGGGAGGUUGAUGACACCAUCGGGAGUCAAAUGCACCAGAGCAGGGAAAGCCUGUCCCCAGCUGUCCUGUGGAGCCUGUGCCAGCCUCUUGAGGGGACAGAAGGAAGUGGGCCUCCAAGUUCUGUGACACACUGAGAAGCACCCCAUCAAUCAGGUCCAUCAAGGCCACAGCCAUGCCUUGGCCACCAUCGUUGGGGGUCUCCCCAGAAGAAACUAAUAAGCAUGCACUGCAAAAAAAGGGACCAGGCUGAGGUAGUCCAGAAUACAAUUUAUUGUGUUGGUGGUCCUUGGAGGCUCCCCCGACUCCCCUCUUUUCCUUUUGCCCUCUUCUAACCUUACCUUUCCUCCAGUCUCCCGCUCUUCUUCCUCAUGUAUUCAAAGCUGCAGAGAACCAAAAAAAAGAAGAAAAAAAAAAAAAAGGCAUGUUGGUAAAUGCAAAGAAGCAGAUGGGUUGGCACGUGGGAAGAGAACUGCUUCUUUGUCUCGCCUACAGAGCGGGGGUGACUUCCUUGUGUGCUCCUGCCUGGUGUGUGGGUACAAUCUGCUGAACCCUAGGCAUAUGACAUGCUCCCCCCAACCCCAAACAGCCCUGGAGUGCCCUAUUUAGGCCAUCCAUCAUCCAUGGACAGAAGGCUCUUGGCUUGGCUGCCAGACCUGGCUCUUCUGGGCCUACGUAAUACCGAAGGGUGAGCUUGGGAAGGACUCCCGGGCCUAUACAAACAGCUCAGGAAGAACAUCUAUCAUUUGGAAAAGAAGACUGUCAUUGACCUGCGAGAAGGGGCCUCUUGUUUCAGAAGGCUGCAGUGGGGUGUGCAAUGGGGUCACAGUUUAAGUUUAAUGUCAAUGGUCACGUCUCACUUAUCUCUGAAGACACCCAGGGCAUAUGGAUCUUCAAUAAGUACUGACUUGGAGCAGCUGAAUAAGCAGAUGAAUUGCCAUGCUAACACCAACGUUUCUAGCUAUUUCCUCUGAAUCUCCUUACAACUUUCUCCUCCACCUCCUCCUCAGGCAUCCUCUUAUAAACAUCACUCCACAGGAUUCCAUUCUAGGCCCUUUUCUCCUCUCUUUUGAAACGCACUCCCUGAACCACCUCAUCCAUUUCUCUGGCUUCCAUCUAUAUGCUGAGGCUGUAUGCCAGUGAUUCACACGGCUCUCUCACCUCCCGACCCCCAUAUCCAACUGCUGACUGGACACCUUUUGAACAGCAUUCUCAAAAUCAAACUUAUCUCAAAACCUGUUUCUCCUCCAGAACUUCUGGAGAAAGUACUCAGGUACUCAAGCCACACAACUGGGCCUCACCCUUGACUCUUUCCCUGUCCCCUCUUCCAGCCAUCAGAAUCUUCUCAAUUAAAUGCCCUAAAUAUUUCUAAAUUC